UAGGGAAUCUUGCGCAAUGGGCGAAAGCCUGACGCAGCAACGCCGCGUGGGGGAUGAAGGCCUUCGGGUUGUAAACUCCUUUCAGUGGGAACGAAAUUGACGGUACCCACAGAAGAAGCCCCGGCCAACUACGUGCCAGCAGCCGCGGUGAUACGUAGGGGGCGAGCGUUGUCCGGAUUUAUUGGGCGUAAAGAGCUCGUAGGCGGUUUGGUAAGUCGGGUGUGAAACCUCCAGGCUCAACCUGGAGACGCCACUCGAUACUGCCCUGACUAGAGUCCGGUAGGGGACCAUGGAAUUCCUGGUGUAGCGGUGAAAUGCGCAGAUAUCAGGAGGAACACCAGUAGCGAAGGCGGUGGUCUGGGCCGGAACUGACGCUGAGGAGCGAAAGCGUGGGGAGCGAACAGGAUUAGAUACCCUGGUAGUCCACGCCGUAAACGUUGGGCACUAGGUGUGGGGUCCUAUCGACGGAUUCCGUGCCGCAGCUAACGCAUUAAGUGCCCCGCCUGGGGAGUACGGCCGCAAGGCUA
rnacentral:rRNA from 1 species